GAUGAACGCUAGCGGCGGGCCUAAUACAUGCAAGUUGAACGAGAUUGUUGGUAGCAAUACUGACAUGAAAGUGGCGCACGGGUGCGUAACACGUAUGUAACCUACCUUUAACUGGGGCAUAGCUUCGAGAAAUCGAAAUUAAUACCCCAUAACAUUUAGAAAAGGCAUCUUUUCUUUAUCAAAGUUCCGGCGGUUAAAGAUGGACAUGCGGUGCAUUAGCUUGUUGGUGAGGUAACGGCUCACCAAGGCUACGAUGCAUAGGGGGUCUGAGAGGAUGAUCCCCCACACUGGUACUGAGACACGGACCAGACUCCUACGGGAGCAGCAGUAGGGAAUAUGGGCAAUGGACGAAAGUCUGACCCAGCCACGCCGCGUGAAGGAUGACUGCCCUAUGGGUUGUAAACUUCUUUUGUAUGGGAAGAAAAUUCCGAACGUGUUCGAGCUGACGGUACCAUAAGAAUAAGCAUCGGCUAACUCCGUGCCAGCAGCCGCGGUAAAGUAGUCG
rnacentral:rRNA from 1 species